CAGUCGCCGCGGGAAAACGGAGGGUGCAAGCGUUAAUCGGAAUUACUGGGCGUAAAGCGCACGCAGGCGGUUUGUUAAGUCAGAUGUGAAAUCCCGAGCUUAACUUGGGAACUGCAUUUGAAACUGGCAAGCUAGAGUCUUGUAGAGGGGGGUAGAAUUCCAGGUGUAGCGGUGGAAUGCGUAGAGAUCUGGAGGAAUACCGGUGGCGAAGGCGGCCCCCUGGACAAAGACUGACGCUCAGGUGCGGAAGCGUGGGGAGCAAACAGGAUUAGAUACCCCGGUAGUCCCUGUCUCUUAUACA
rnacentral:rRNA from 1 species